rnacentral:tRNA from 1 species
GGAGUUGUAGCUCAGUGGCAAGAGUGCUUACCUUGCAUGUGUGAGGCCCUGGGUUCCAUCCUCAGCACCA